AAGUGCUAUCAUACCAACACUAACGCACCGGAUCUCAUCAGAACUCCGAAAUUAAGCGUGUUUGGGCGAAAGUAGUAUUAGGAUGGGUGACCCCCCGGGAAGUUCUUGUGUUGCACCCC